UGGCGGGACGGGGUGGAGUAAUGUCUGGGAAACUGCCUGAUGGGAGGGGGUAACUACUGGAAACGGUAGCUAAUACCGCAUAACGUCGCAAGACCAAAGAGGGGGACCGUUCGGGCCUCUUGCCAUCGGAUGUGCCCAGAUGGGAUUAGCUAGUAGGUGGGGUAACGGCUCACCUAGGCGACGAUCCCUAGCUGGUCUGAGAGGAUGACCAGCCACACUGGAACUGAGACACGGUCCAG
rnacentral:rRNA from 1 species